UUAUCCGACAAUUAAUUAUUUGGCUAAAAUAAUUUAACUUGAUUUGAAUGGAACAAUUGAACUAUUUUAUAGUUUGGAACUAUUUUAAAGGGAAAAAGGGGAGAUAUUUAAAUACUAUCUAAGUGAGUUAUCUUGCCAAUUAUUCUUUUAAGUCUUUUGAAAGAUGAUCGAUUUAGUUAAAUUGUUAAAACGGAAUGAGCGUCUUUCGGGGAUUUGAACUUUUCGACCCUAAGAUUAAUGACAAAUAUUAACAAGUAAAUAAUAAAACAAAGAGGGGAAGAG
rnacentral:lncRNA from 1 species